GGAAGUGGCUGUGGAGAGAGAAUCAUUUCUUUUACUAACUGAUAACUUUUUCUUAAGUUUUAUUUAACAAGCACCUAUAAAAGUGGGAUUCAGUAAACAGUAAACAUGCUUUGUUGUAUUAGAGCUGAGAGUGAUAGCAACAUGUUGUCUCCUUUACAGUCAGCAAUGAAAGAAACAGCUAUAUUUGUAUUAUUUGUUUUAUAAGACUGAUAUCUUGUUUAAUAAAGAGCAAACUGACACAAUACCAGUUUACAAUAAAUAAAGGAAAUAUUCAUUUUAAAAAUAUGUGAAAUAGUCUCGUAGGUAGGUGGUAGGCCUCUGUGAGACUAAUACUGUAGCCAUGCUAACUGUUAGCUAAUACAACAGUGUUUAAUCAUAAUUGUACUUAUUUUUAUAUUGUUUUAAGUUCACACACUGAGCGAUAUUUAGUUUACCAUUAAAUAAAAUCCAAGAUAACAAUAUGUGACAAACAAAAUCUUACCAAAAUGUGUCUGUGGUCCCUGGCUAUGUGUGCCUUUAAGUGAUUAAACUAUCUGGGACUAUUCCCUCACACAGGUAGGACUGUGCUGCCAUCUUACGUUUCUUCCCGCCGCUUACCUGUUUGGACUAAUGUCGAAAUCCCGCGAGACUCCAGGAGAGUUCACUUAUAUCGUAUAUAAAAAUGGUCACUGUACAUUUUUAAUUUUUGCUUAUGUUAGAAGUCUUUCUUCACACCCAAAAUGAAAAAUGUUUAAUCCGACAACAAACUCAAACUAAAAGUCAAAGAAGAGGAGAGGGAACUGUUACUGAGUCUGACUGAAUUCAACAAAUUAAGAUGUAAUGUCAGCAUUAUACCACCAGAGCCAAGUUUGUGUUUUUAAACAAACAAACAGAAAAAGAGCCAGCAGAUGUGGUCCUAGCGAUGCUCUAGACAGGCAGCCGAGAGGCCAGCCUUUCUCCUGACUGCCUAACAACAGCAUUUGGCAGGGAUGAUUGACGGGUCGUUACAACCAAUUGUAAAUCAUCAGAAAAAUUCAGGUAAAGCACGUAAGAAUAAACUAAAGCAACGUCACAUAAGCAGUCCCCUAGUAUUCCACCUCCUAUUUUAAAUACUGAUAGACAACAUAUUUAUGACUUUUUUUUUUUAAAAGCAGGAAAUAAAAGUAUAAAAACGACAACACAAGACUAGGUUUCUGGAACAGGCUCCUCCCUGUAGGCCAGGAAGAAGAACAGGAGGGUACAACACUGUCAAGAGAGCCUGAAUCUGGCAGUAAAACAAACAGAAGAGUCAGGGGAGGCUGGUGGCUGAUACACCCCUAAUAUGACUGGCCACCCUUAAAAAAAUAACCCAAAAUUAAACAUGUCCAACACAGGGCAUGUGGUUAAUUCUCACUCUGCUAAUGAUGUAGGUUACCUGCAUGUGUCACCCCAAACUCUAUCCUGCUGCCCAACCUGACAGUUCUGGCGUUUUCAUGCACAGUAUUCUGGAUUAAAAAAAGGUCAUGUCACUGUGUCAUGUUUGUCUUUUAAGUUAAACUGUUAAAGCAGAUGGCAGGUACCAACA
rnacentral:lncRNA from 15 species